CUCUUUUUCCCGCCUCUUCUGGCCCCAGUCGGUGCCCUGACAAAACCCCUCCACGCCCACUCUGUCAAUAAAUCCAGCGAACUACAGCCAAUGGCUCGGGUCGCUGUCAUUCAGGCGUUGCCAUAAAAAUCUGUCCCGCCUCUUCUUCUGCACUGUCCCAAAUCAGUGCUUUCAUUGGCUUAAAGAGCCGUCGCUCCAACAGAAACUCUGUUUGGGUCAGGUUAUUCAGGUCCAAGUGAAAAGAGGGAGGGCUCUGUCAGAGACAAACUUCGUAUAUUAUUGGUUGGCCUUGGACAGGACCACGCUUCCAUUCGUUAAGGCCUCCGCCCAUCACCCUAAAUCCGGAGCUCUAUUCUCUUUCUUUCAGCUUGAAGUGGGGCAAAAUCCCUGAGCGAACCAGGAAGGAAAGAGGUGAAUGCACACACGCGCCAUCGCGCUCCCGGCCCCAGGAGACCAUUGGUUGCCAUGGCAACAAAACUUCAGUGCCAACCCUGCUUAGCAAGAAGAUCUUUUCUCUUUCCCAGUAUUCCUUAUCUUUGGAAAAUUGUACCUACAAGAACUCUGUGAAGUUUUCUUGUCCUGCCUGUGAACAGUUCAGAAAGAGACGACGCUGAGAAGUUGGGACUUAGAAGACAAGCUCUGAUUCAUGGGGCACUCCCCUGGGGAAACCCCUUAAUUAAGAUUACCCACCUCUUCAAUCCUGCAAGUAUAAUUAGCAGGAUAUCAUAAUUACGUCCAAACAAACUGAAGGAACAACCGAUUGAAGUGAGAUGGGACAUUGAAAUGGCCCAGUGUGUAAAAGCACCUGCCCACAAGUCUCAUAGCCAGGAUCCGCAUAAUGGAAAGAAAGCACCGACUCCUGAAGGUUGUCCUUGACCUCCACAUUCAUGCCAAGGCGCGCGCGCGCGCGCGCGCACGCACACACACACACACACACACACACACACACACACAAU